CGCCUUCCGUCACCGGUUCCAUGAGCGACAGUCUGGACUGCUGUUACGAGACAAGAAGGCACGCGAUUAAAAAAAGUCACAGCUGUCGGUCUGCCCGCCAUAUCUUGUUCUGCCGCCGAAGACUCUCCCUCCAUUCAUCCGGCCUGAAUGCUGCAGGCCUUGCCCAGACUGUGCAGGGCAGCGGAGCGUCUCAGGAGAUUGGGGGUGCAGGUCACUGCCAUGUCCCACAGCCCUCGGAGCAACAGUACCUCCUCCCACCAAGAAGGGGGCAGUGUCACUGCUGCAGUCAUCAUCAUUGGUGAUGAGAUACUCAAGGGACACACCCAGGACACUAACAGUGCCUUCCUGUGCCGAGCGCUCCGCAAACUGGGCGUGUGCGUGCAGCGCAUCACCGUAGUGCCUGACCAGCAGGAAGUCAUCGCCAAAGAGGUGGCCACCCUCUCCCCCCUCUUCACCCACCUGAUCACCUCGGGGGGCAUCGGCCCCACCCACGACGACGUCACCUUCGAGAGCGUGGCAAUGGCCUUCGGAGAGAAGCUGUACCCGCACCCGGAGCUGGCCCAGCUGGUGGAGGAGUUCUUCGGGGCGGUGGACCCGGACAGCGCCGCCAUGAAGCUAGCGCUGGUGCCCGAGUCGUCCAAGCUGAACUACGGGACGGACCCCCAGACGGGGCAGCCCCUGCGCUACCCUCUGGUCAGCGUGCGCAACGUUUACAUCUUCCCCGGGAUCCCCUCCCUCCUGGAGCGGGCUUUCAACGGACUUAAGCACUUGUUCGCCGGCUCCGGAACCACCUUUCACACCCAGGAAGUGUUUGUGGACGCUGACGAGGCGGAGAUCGCGCCCGUCCUAACCCGGCUGCAGUCCGUGUGGGGGAAGAGGGUGGCUCUGGGCUCAUACCCGGACUGGCUGAGCAACUACCACCGGGUCCGCCUGGUGCUGGACUCGGAUAGCUGGGAGGAGGUGGAGCGGGCGCGGAGCCAGGUGGUGGCUGAGCUCCCGGAGGGAAGCGUGGUGCCGCUGGUGACUGACCCGGUUUCCCUAGCCACUGCAGAGGUGUACGCACUAGCGAACAGCGGCACGCCACUAGGACAGAAAGUGGCAUCAGCGCUGAAGACCAUCGAGACUGCGCUGGAUCGGUAUGCGGCAGGCGAGAUCUGUGUGGGCUUCAACGGGGGAAAGGACUGCACUGCCCUGCUGCACUUGUACUACGCGGCGCUGAAGAGGAGGUACCCGGAGGGUAAGGACCGCGUUAAGGCGCUGUACAUUCGUAUCGUCUCUCCGUUUCCUGAGAUGGAGAGGUUUCUGCAGGACACCAUAAAGAGGUACGACCUGGAGCUGUUUUCUGUGGAGGGCAGCAUCCGGCAGGCCCUGAGCGAGGUGCAGGACAGGAGGCCGGAGCUGAGGGCGGUCCUGAUGGGGACCCGGCGCAGCGACCCGUACUCCCACACCCUCACGCCGCUGUGUCUCACCGACCCGGGAUGGCCCGACUACAUGAGAGUGAACCCCCUGCUGGACUGGACAUAUCAUGACAUCUGGUCAUUUCUGAGGACCUUAUAUGUGCCGUACUGUAUUCUGUAUGACAAAGGUUACACCUCUCUGGGCAGCAUGGACAACACCACCAGGAACCUCGCCCUUCAAGUUGUUGACGGGCGGGGCGUGACCCGCUACAAGCCGGCCUACCAGCUGGAGAAUGCCGAAGAGGAGCGCAACUCCAGGGAGUGACGUCCCCGUCGCUACCCUGUUACAUAACCCAUUCCACCUGGCGUAUACGUACAGCGGUCGCAGCAGUGGAGGAGUCCCAACAGAGGGGAUUUCUCAGAGAGGAAGUGAAGGCGUAACUGUGACAAAAUGUACCCAUUAAAAACUGGGGGAGGAUGCAAACCUGAAAUUUCAAAAGGCAGGACGGAUAGCACCGGGUAGAUUGAAUCCUGGUGUAUCGACCGCUUCUCUCCGCCUGGAAAUUAGUCAACGCUCUGGCAACGAGGAUCGAUGCAGGGCAAUCUAAUAAAGCGACUCGCUUACGACGACGCCCCGGGACGAGCAGACGGUUACACCUCCAAUUACCACCCCCUCCCCUCCCUACAUUUCACUCCCACUUCUCCUGAGUUCACUAGGCUGUUUACCCGUAGACAAAUGAGUAAUAACAACCGAAGGCAACAAGUGAUACGCAACAACAAUACACACAGAUACAACACAUAUGCUUGUGUGUGCGUUUAUUUUUUAUGACCAUUUACUUUAUUUUGGAUAGUUUUGAAGAAUUUACUUUUAUUAUUAUUAUUUACUUUUAAGUACAAAAUGUAUUCUCUACCACACGAAGACAGAAAUCUACAAAUUGAUUUACUCCUGCUAAAAGCACACUUAAAUUAAAAGCAUAAUAUAAUGAGCAUUGUCUUAUGCAACUAUAAUGAGUU